CGCGUAGGCGGCUCGGUAAGUCUGAAGUGAAAGUCCUGGCUUUAAGUUGGGAAUUGCUUUGGAUACUGUCGGGCUUGAGUGCAGGAGAGGUUAGUGGAAUUCCCAGUGUAGCGGUGAAAUGCGUAGAGAUUGGGAGGAACACCAGUGGCGAAGGCGACUAACUGGACUGUAACUGACGCUGAGGCGCGAAAGUGUGGGGAGCAAACA
rnacentral:rRNA from 1 species